GAUGAACGCUGGCGGCGUGCCUAAUACAUGCAAGUCGAACGCAUUGAGAGAAGUGCUUGCACUUUUCAAUUUGAGUGGCGAACGGGUGAGUAACACGUGGGCAACCUACCUGAUAGCGGGGGAUAACGAGUGGAAACAUUCGCUAAUACCGCAUAACAAUAGAGAAGGCAUCUUCUUUAUUUAAAAGGCGCUUUAAAGCGUCACUAUCAGAUGGGCCCGCGGUGCAUUAGUUAGUUGGUGGGGUGAAGGCCUACCAAGACGAUGAUGCAUAGCCGAGUUGAGAGACUGAUCGGCCACAUUGGGACUGAGACACGGCCCAAACUCCUACGGGAGGCUGCAGUAGGGAAUCUUCCACAAUGGACGAAAGUCUGAUGGAGCAACGCCGCGUGUGUGAUGAAGGCUUUCGGGUCGUAAAGCACUGUUGUAUGGGAAGAAAUGCUAGGCUAGGAAAUGAGCUUAGUUUGACGGUACCAUACCAGAAAGGGACGGCUAAAUACGUGCCAGCCGCCGCCGUAA
rnacentral:rRNA from 1 species